CUGCUGGCUGCUUCUGUGACUUCUCAGAACUGGCACAGUGCACAGUGUGACCGAUUGCUCCUGGUGUCCAUUGGCUUUAAUCGAGGUAUUUGGGGGGGAAAGGUGUCACUCCAAAGGGAAAUGAAGAUCACACACCUCAUCCUGAAUCUCAGAUGUGGCUUCUCUCUGGUUGUCACCAGACAGUGUCACUCAGCUUCUCGGUGGACAGCCUCAGACACCAAGUUUGGUUUCUGGGUUGAACAUAUAUGAAAGGAUGGCGUGAUGUUGUUGCCAAAGCUGAGUCUCUGUGGCAGUGCUUGGCGGGGGUAGUUCUGGCACAAACACCCUGGAGGACCGGCCUUGACCUCUCACCUAAGUGGACCCUGCACUCACAGCCCCUGCCACCCAGCUGGUGCUCAGGACUUCACUGGAACAGAAUGGCUUCUAUGGCUGGUAUUUCAGAGUUCGCAAAGGACAUUAGUCACCACUAGGUGUCAUGAUGAGGCAAGUAAAAUUUGGGCUCAUAGCUAGAAAUCUUGCUUUUACUACACUCUUUGUCACGCAUGCAAAUAUUCAGUGUCUCAGCAGGCACCUGUUGAGGGUCUGCGCGUGCCAAGCACAUGCACAAGGCGCUGGGGUCUUGUCCUGGCCGAGCUACCAGGCCUGGUGAGGAGAAAGUGGCAGUGGGUGUUGAGACAGGCAGACUAUAAAGACACGGGAUAGAGGGACACCUGGUCAUGCCAGAGGAGACAACCAUGGCUUCCUGAGAGAGGCACCUUCUAAGGUGAGCGUGAAGGUUAAGAAGAGGAAAGAAAUUCAGUUCAUAUUCUCUCCGAGGGAAUUCAAGACAGGAGGACAGCCUGGAACCUGGUCAGAAUUUAUUGUUUGUUGAAGACUGAGCUUUAAAAUAAACAGCGAGUUAGAACUUUUGCAAAAGGGAAGGGGACCAAGAGAUGAAGGGAGUGGGGAGAGAAAGAAAGAGAAGGGAAAUGAAAAAGAAUUAAGAUGUGUAAUGCACAGGUACCAACUCUCCACAAUGUGAUCAUUCUGUGCUGCAAAUAUGUACUCAUAAAAAUAAAAAUGUAAAACAAAUGAAGAGCCAAAGAAUAAAAAACCCACAUGGCAAAAAAAUAAAAAUAAAUAAAUUAUCAAAAAGCUUUGGGAGACAUUUUUUGUCUUUUAAAGAAUUCUUAUUCUUUACCAGCUUUAUUGAUUUGUAACUAUUCUUGGAUAUUAAGGAUACUAGCACUCUGUCAUGUUUAUUCUUACUUUUCUUCAGUUUGCCUUUGCUUUGAACUUAUCUUUGUUUUGUUUUAUUUUUGUAAGUUUCUUUGCUUGCCUAAGCUUCUUUUAUUUUUAUCUAUAGUUGUACAAUAUGAAUGCUAACCUUGGCACCUACAGCAGUUCAAAGUUUAGAUUCCUGGGUUUUCCUAAUAUCACUGAGAAUACAGAGAAGUUGACCUCCUUGGGCCCUGAGCCUGAGGAAAUGGUGGGUUUGAAGCAGCCCUGAGGUGGGCUGCUCAGGGAGUGCCCUGGAGGUCAGUGCUGGGCUAUACCACCAUCCUGGACAGGAGCUAAUACCAGGUAGCCUUUUGUGGGGAUCACAGCAAAGACACUGGAGGUCGUAAAGUGAUGGUCAGGCCUGGCCAGGGCAGGGAUGGACACUCUGAUACAUAGAAGCUGAGGGUGGCUUGGUGGCGUGGAGGGCCUGGGGCUCGAUCCUCCCAUGCUAAUAGGAGAGGGGGGCCCCAGGAUAUUCCACCUCACUCCUGGUGCACCUCAAGCACCCAAGGCAGCCCUUGUCAAGGAGCCCUGCGUAUCUGGGUUCCUUAGGGGAGACUCCACUACUUUCCCCAACUGGAAGCUUGUUGGUAGCUUUUUUAAUAUGGUAAAAUAUACAUGACCUAGAAUCUAACAUUGUAGCCUUUUAAAAUAAUUCCUAUCAUCACCACUGCCCAUCUCCAGAGCUGUCUCAUCUUCCCCAGCAGCAACUCACUCAGUCCCCAUUAGACACAAACUCCCCAUCCUCCCUCUCCCAGCUCUGACAACCACCACUGCACUUCCUGUCUCUGUGGAUUUGAUGAC
ensembl:lncRNA